CAGAGGAGGAGAGGGGCAUGUUACAGCAGCUAUGGCAGAUUGCAUUCACUGGGAUGUGAACACAGCAUAGAGGGGCCAAUGCACUGCUAGAGAAGGGAACAACCCUGACCUCUAAAUCAGGAGGAGAGCUUGAAUGCACACACCUCUAUGUAAUUUGGUUUAGAGGAGGUGAAACACCAGAACUCCCCAUGAAGAAACUCAGCAGUGUCUCUCUGAGAGAGCCCAGCUUCCUGGCUGUAUCACACUCAGCAGGGAUGCAGGCUGUGCACCAUUGACCCAAGUGUGAAUACGAUGAUACCAUGUUCCCCAGAGCUCUGAACAAAUUCUUCCAUUUCCUAGAAG